UUUUUAAAUUGUCAAAAUAAAUAACGUGGAUGGUUCCGUAAAACGCUCUUCGCAAGUAAAAACAAUAGAUCAAUUCACUACCUUUAUUGAAUUUGGGGGAUUUAUUCAAUUUUAGAGCAUUUGGAGAAAAAAA